AUUAAACGCUGGCGGCAUGCCUUACACAUGCAAGUCGAACGGCAGCACGGGGGCAACCCUGGUGGCGAGUGGCGGACGGGUGAGUAAAGCAUCGGAACGUAUCCUGGAGUGGGGGGAUAACGUAGCGAAAGUUACGCUAAUACCGCAUAUUCUGUGAGCAGGAAAGCAGGGGAUCGCAAGACCUUGCGCUCUGGGAGCGGCCGAUGUCGGAUUAGCUAGUUGGUGGGGUAAAGGCCUACCAAGGCGACGAUCCGUAGCGGGUCUGAGAGGAUGAUCCGCCACACUGGGACUGAGACACGGCCCAGACUCCUACGGGAGGCAGCAGUGGGGAAUUUUGGGACAAUGGGCGCAAGCCUGAUCCAGCCAUGCCGCGUGAGUGAAGAA
rnacentral:rRNA from 1 species